rnacentral:lncRNA from 1 species
CUCGAUUCCCCGCCCCCACCCUCCAUCAAAUAGGUUGUGAUUUUAACAACAUCCACCCCAAUCUGUUUCCUGUUUCUGUGCUUGAAGUCAUGCAUUUAAGAUGGGUUGAUUGGCAGGAAUCAAAAAAGACCAGAGUCAGAAUCAAGUUUUCUUGCUGACACCUCUCUUUACCCGCCACCCCACCCCUGGUGAACAGUUUACCUGUUAAAAGCCACAGUUCACACACUUUCUUCCUCUUCCUGCCCUC